rnacentral:tRNA from 1 species
GGUGGCUCAGUGAUAGAGUGCUUGCCUUGCAUGCAUGAGGCCUUGGGUUCGAUUCCUCAGCACCA